GACGAACGCUGGCGGCGCGCCUAACACAUGCAAGUCGAACGAGCGAGAGAGAGUUUGCUUUCUCGAGCGAGUGGCGAACGGGUGAGUAACGCGUGAGGAACCUGCCUCAAAGAGGGGGACAACAGUUGGAAAUGACUGCUAAUACCGCAUAAGCGCACAGUGCUGCAUGGCACAGUGUGAAAAAACUCCGGUGGUAUGAGAUGGACCCGCGUCUGAUUAGCUAGUUGGUGGGGUAACGGCCUACCAAGGCGACGAUCAGUAGCCGGCCUGAGAGGGUGAACGGCCACAUUGGGACUGAGACACGGCCCAA
rnacentral:rRNA from 1 species